rnacentral:rRNA from 1 species
UACAGAGGUCUCGAGCGUUAGGCGGAAUCACUGGGCUUAAAGCGUGUGUAGGCGGAUCGGUAAGUACCUUGUGAAAUCCCACAGCUUAACUGUGGAACUGCUCGGUAUACUGCCAGUCUUGAGCCAGCUAGGGGCUACCGGAACAAAUGGUGGAGCGGUGAAAUGCGUAGAUAUCAUUUGGAACGCCAAUGGUGAAAACAGGUAGCUGGGGCUGUGCUGACGCUGGAGACACGAAAGCCAGGGGAGCAAACGGG